rnacentral:rRNA from 1 species
UACGUAGGGUGCGAGCGUUGUCCGGAAUUAUUGGGCGUAAAGGGCUCGUAGGCGGUUUGUCACGUCGGGAGUGAAAACUCGGGGCUUAACCCCGAGCCUGCUUCCGAUACGGGCAGACUAGAGGUAUGCAGGGGAGAACGGAAUUCCUGGUGUAGCGGUGAAAUGCGCAGAUAUCAGGAGGAACACCGGUGGCGAAGGCGGAUCUCUGGGCCUUACCUGACGCUGAGGCGCGAAAGCUAGGGGAGCAAACAGG